CUCUAUAGCCAAUAUUGAUUUUGUGCUAGUAACACAGGGGAGUUAACACAAAAGAUUAUUUGUCACCUAUUUUUAGAAAAAAAGUCAGUAUAAAAUCAGAGAUCAACAUGAAUACAGUAUAGGUAUAAAUGUUUGACCAAAAAUGGCAAUUUCUUAUGUUUUUAGGGGUAUUAAGAAAGUGUUCUUUGGUUUAUUUUGCUUUUGAUUGUAAUAAUGUAUGCAAAUCCUGGUAACCAUUAAUUUUCUCAAACUUAAUGUCUGAAAGCUUCAUAAAAUCAACCUAAAUAUUUA